UAGCUUAAUGAAGCAGUUUUGGUGUAUAGAACAUGCCCCUGCAGCCCCACUGCUCAAUCCUCUGCCAUUUAGGAGUUAAAUCCCUUUGUUUAUGAACCCUAGUCACACCUCCCUGCAUGUGACUUGCACAGCCUUCCAUAAACACUUCCUGUAAAGAGAGCCCUAUUUAGGCUUUCUUUAUUGCAAGUUCUGUUUAAUUAAGAUUUUC